rnacentral:rRNA from 1 species
GAUGAACGCUGGCGGCGUGCUUAACACAUGCAAGUCGAACGGUAAGGCCCCUUCGGGGGUACACGAGUGGCGAACGGGUGCGUAACACGUGAGCAAUCUGCCCCUAACACUGGGAUAAGCGCUUGAAAAGGCGUCUAAUACCGGAUAUCAACUAGAUAGGCAUCUAUUUAGUUUGAAAGCUCCGGCGGUUAGGGAUGAGCUCGCGGCCUAUCAGCUUGUUGGUGAGGUAAAGGCUCACCAAGGCUUCGACGGGUAGCCGGCCUGAGAGGGUGACCGGCCACACUGGGACUGAGAUACGGCCCAGACUCCUACGGGAGGCAGCAGUGGAGAAUACUGCACAAUGGGCGCAAGCCUGAUGCAGCAACGCCGCGUGCGGGAUGACGGCCUUCGGGUUGUAAACCGCUUUCAGCAGGGACGAAGCGAAAGUGACGGUACCUGCAGAAGAAGCACCGGCUAAACUACGUGCCAGCAGCCGCGGUGAUACGUAGGGUGCGAGCGUUAUCCGGGAAUUAUUGGGCGUAAAGAGCUUGUAGGCGGUCUUGCACGUCGGACGUGAAAACUCGGGGCUUAACCCCGAGCCUGCGUUCGAUACGGCUUGACUAGAGGAAUGUAGGGGAGAAUGGAAUUCCUGGUGGAGCGGUGGAAUGCGCAGAUAUCAGGAGGAACACCGAUGGCGAAGGCAGUUCUCUGGGCAUUUCCUGACGCUGAGAAGCGAAAGCGUGGGGAGCAAACAGGCUUAGAUACCCUGGUAGUCCACGCCGUAAACGGUGGGCACUAGGUGUGGGGCGAAUUCUCUCGUUCCGCGCCGUAGCUAACGCAUUAAGUGCCCCGCCUGGGGAGUACGGCCGCAAGGCUAAAACUCAAAGGAAUUGACGGGGGCCCGCACAAGCGGCGGGAGCAUGCGGAUUAAUUCGAUGCAACGCGAAGAACCUUACCUGGAUUUGACAUAUACCGGAAACACCUAGAGAUAGGUGCCCCGCAAGGUCGGUAUACAGGUGGUGCAUGGCUGUCGUCAGCUCGUGUCGUGAGAUGUUGGGUUAAGUCCCGCAACGAGCGCAACCCUCGUCCUAUGUUGCCAGCACGUAAUGGUGGGAACUCAUGGGAGACUGCCGGGGUCAACUCGGAGGAAGGUGGGGAUGACGUCAAGUCAUCAUGCCCCUUAUGUCCAGGGCUUCACGCGUGCUACAAUGGCUGGUACAAAGGGCUGCAAUACCGCAAGGUGGAGCGAAUCCCAUAAAGCCAGUCUCAGUUCGGAUUGGGGUCUGCAACUCGACCCCAUGAAGUCGGAGUCGCUAGUAAUCGCAGAUCAGCAACGCUGCGGUGAAUACGUUCCCGGGCCU